UACGUAGGGUGCAAGCGUUGUCCGGAAUUAUUGGGCGUAAAGAGCUCGUAGGCGGUCUGUCGCGUCGGCUGUGAAAACCCGGAGCUCAACUCCGGGCCUGCAGUCGAUACGGGCAAACUGGAGUGUUGCAGGGGAGACUGGAAUUCCUGGUGUAGCGGUGAAAUGCGCAGAUAUCACGAGGAACACCGGUGGCGAAGGCGGGUCUCUGGGCAACAACUGACGCUGAGGAGCGAAAGCGUGGGGAGCGAACAGG
rnacentral:rRNA from 1 species